rnacentral:rRNA from 1 species
CAAUAGCGUAUAUUUAAGUUGUUGCAGUUAAAAAGCUCGUAGUUGGAUUUCGGAUGGGAUCUGCCGGUCCGCCUUUGAGGUGUGUACUGGUAGGUCCUAUCUUGUUGUCGGGGACUAGCUCCUGGGCUUCACUGUCCGGGACUAGGAGCUGACGAGGUUACUUUGAGUAAAUUAGAGUGUUCAAAGCAAGCCUACGCUCUGAAUACAUUAGCAUGGAAUAACACGAUAGGACUCUGGCUUAUCUUGUUGGUCUGUGAGACCAGAGUAAUGAUUAAGAGGGACAGUCGGGGGCAUUCGUAUUUCAUUGUCAGAGGUGAAAUUCUUGGAUUUAUGAAAGACGAACUUCUGCGAAAGCAUUUGUCAAGGAUGUUUUCAUUAA